UGGCGAAGGUCCCAGCAGGGAGGUGAGAACUCUUGAUAAAUUGAGACCUCUCUAACACAAAUCAAACCCUUCGCAAAUUUAUUGCCGAAUAAACAGAUGCCCAGAUGCUUAUUAUUUGGAUCAUCUUCGAACCCUCGGCUACACUUUA